rnacentral:rRNA from 1 species
UACGAAGGGGACUAGCGUUGUUCGGAAUCACUGGGCGUAAAGCGCACGUAGGCGGAUUCGUAAGUCAGGGGUGAAAUCCCGGGGCUCAACCUCGGAACUGCCUUUGAUACUGCGGGUCUUGAGUCCGAUAGAGGUGGGUGGAAUUCCUAGUGUAGAGGUGAAAUUCGUAGAUAUUAGGAAGAACACCGGUGGCGAAGGCGGCAUCCUGGACCAAUUCUGACGCUGAGGAGCGAAAGCCAGGGGAGCAAACGGG